AUGCACCAGCACUUCCAUUGGGAUGCUAGAGUGGAGCCCUGGGACAACCUAACUCUAUUAUCCUAUCAUCGUUGCCAAGGUAACAGGGGACUGUUGAUUCUACUGUCUGAGAUGAAGGUUAAAACUGGCAAGGAGAGGAAAAACGGGGAGCCAGCAAGACAAAAAACCUGUGUUCAUUUAGAAAUCUAGAGAUUUUGUUUGUUUGUUUUUCUGGUGAGAUUAUAGUUUUGAGUCCACAAACAAACUAGAAAGUUUCUUAAGAACACAUGAGUGGUGCCCAAGAAAGGCUAGGAAAGUUCCCUUGAAGAGAAGGCGUGAUGGGAUAUAAAUUAUGAGCUCUGUGGCUGAAAAAGCACAUGACCCCAGAAAUCAUGCAGUCCAGUCAAAUCUCCCAAAGUAGCAAUUACACAUUGAAGAGGGGGCUUUUACAGUAUAGUUUUGCAUCAUCUUUCGCAAAAUAAGUUAAUGCGAUUUCCAAAGCUUUUGCAAAUAUAAACUUGGAACUCUAAGAUAAUCGGACUGAUUUGUCUUUGAUCUGCUCUGUUUGCAAAGAGAAUCUUUUUCCAGUAUGAAUAUGUAAGUCAUAUUAGAAACGAAAUAAAAAUUCAUUAAUCACUUAUAUCGACUGCCCA
rnacentral:lncRNA from 1 species